AUUGAACGCUGGCGGCAGGCCUAACACAUGCAAGUCGAACGGUAACAGGAAACAGCUUGCUGUUUCGCUGACGAGUGGCGGACGGGUGAGUCAUGUCUGGGAAACUGCCUGAUGGAGGGGGAUAACUACUGGAAACGGUAGCUAAUACCGCAUAACGUCGCAAGCCCAAAGAGGGGGACCUUCAGGCCUCUUGCCAUCGGAUGUGCCCAGAUGGGAUUAGCUAGUAGGUGGGGUAACGGCUCACCUAGGCGCCGAUCCCUAGCUGGUCUGAGAGGAUGACCAGCCCCACUGGAAAUGAGACACGGUCCAGACUCCUACGGGGGGCAGCAGUGGGGAAUAUUGCACAAUGGGCGCAAGCCUGAUGCAGCCAUGCCGCGUGUAUGAAGAAGGCCUUCGGGUUGUAAAGUACUUUCAGCGGGGAGGAAGGGAGUAAAGUUAAUACCUUUACUCAUUGACGUUACCCGCAGAAGAAGCACCGGCUAACUCCGUG
rnacentral:rRNA from 1 species